GUCUCUUUGAUUUUGUUUUAUAAAGAGUUGGGCCUGCUCAGUGAUAUUUUUUAACAGCUGCGGUGUUAUAACUGUACUAAGGUAGCAUAAUAAUUUGCCUUAUAAAUUAGGGCUAGAAUGAAUGGUUUGACGAGAGUUAUACUGUCUCUAUUUUAAUUGUUAGAAGUUAAUUUUUAUAGUGAAAAAGCUUGGAUGGUUUAAAGGGACGAGAAGACCCUGUUGAGCUUAAUAUAUAUAUAUAUAUAUAUAUAUACAUAUAUUUGGUUGGGGUGAUCAAGGAAUAAAAUGUAAAUAGUUUAACUUCCUUAAAAAUUUUUUUUUGUUAGGAUAAUAAACCAAUUUAUUGCUUUAAUGAUAAGUUACCAUAGGGAUAACAGCGUAAUUUUUUUAGAGAGUUCUUAUUGAAAAAAAAGAUUGCGACCUCGAUGUUGGAUUAAAAUAACCAUUAGGUGUAGAUGCUUUAUUUGGUGAAUCUGUUCGAUUUUUAAAAUUUUACA
rnacentral:rRNA from 1 species